rnacentral:lncRNA from 1 species
UCUUCUUUUUCCAUCGAACGAGACCCACGCAUUACUUCUAGCAUCUUCUGGAAUCUGUUAUCAACAAACACCAUGUAAAUCGUAUCCUUAUCAAAACCUUAAAGUGUUACUUUCAAAUAAAUGCCUAGAUCCAAAAUCAUAAUUUAUCAAUGCUGCCAAGACAGAGGGAAACAUAUUCUGGCAUAGAAGACUAACCAUAAGCAAUGAAAUUUUAAUAUCCAAUAUGUUUAACGAAUAGAAUGAUUAACUUUACCUUUAAUUCUAAUCGAGCAGAAUCUGGAAGUAUGACUGGUCUAAAUGACAGUGAAUGUGGACAGAUUGGGGUAAACAAUAUGCACGGAACGUUUGGAUGGACCUGCAAUUUGCUUUUGUCGUCAGAUAAUAACAUCAAGAAAUGAAACGAUAAAUUGCAAUAUAAAGCUACUUCUAUUCAUAUUUCAUUAUAUAAUAAAAUCAAGGUAGGGAAUGCAAAAUUCCAGUUUUAGGUAACAUCAGUUCGUAUAUUGUACUAAUACCUUACUCAUACCCAUGUUUUUUAUACAUCCAUCAAUGCCAAAAUAAUUUAAUUAUUAUUCUAAAUGCAUGUAGGGUUAUUCUUUUGCUUUGUCAUCCUUUCAAUUGCUCCAUAAAAAAGGGCGGUAUGAUUUGAAAAAUCCCUGAACCUUGAUCUCCUAUAUUUUGUUUGGCUUUAGUAACAUGUUUGAUGGAAAAGUUGAGGUCUUGGAGGCUUACUAAGUAUUCUAACAUCAUCUUGAUAAAUUUGAAGUUUUUGUACUUGAAAAAUUGUAAAUUUGGCUGUGCAUAAUGCAUACUACCACUGGAUAUUCGAGUUGUGCUUCUGUUUUACGGAAUUGAUAUUGUUCGGAAUGAUCUCGACGAAAUUUUGUGACCAUUAGAUAUGUCUUGAACCCAAAAAUGCUGAUGGAAGUUGAAUGAUAUGCAAUUUUGGUCAAACUGAUGAACCCAUUUCUGUUAGGAAUUUUUCUAUAAAACUGUAGCGUGAUUUUUGGAUGAAAAACGGCACUAACACGUUUCUGUAUCUGUCACAGAUUCACCCUUAAAAACUUGGUGCGAUUUGGAGUUUAGUUGAGUAUACAAAUGUUGCUGGAAAGCUUGAUUGCCCCUAUUGCAUGUUCUCGAUGUUUAUGGACACAUAUGCGGUUUGAAUUCUGUUCGAAUGACUUUGAUUCUGUUUUGGGAAUGUGAAAUAUGUAUUCAGAUGUUAAAUUAAUAUGCCGGAAGAUUGAAAAUAUGUUUGGGAUGAUAUGGAAUUGGAAAAUGACCAAAAGAAAUUAACGAGCACGUGAAUGUUCUUGUGUUAAUAUUGUUCAUCCAUGUUCAUACUAGAAACAUGAAACCCUUGAUACAAGGUGCAAGACAUAAACAUACUAA